rnacentral:rRNA from 1 species
UACGGAGGGUGCAAGCGUUGUUCGGAAUUAUUGGGCGUAAAGCGCGUGCAGGCGGUUGCUUAAGUCUGAUGUGAAAGCCCUGGGCGUCAACCCGGGAACGGUGCAUUGGUAAACGUAGGGCGAACUUAGUAGUACGGGAGAGGAUAGUGGAAUUACCGACGUGUAGGGGUGGAAAUACCGUGAUAUUCGGAGGAACACCGGUGGCGAAGGCGGCUAUCUGGACCGAUACUGACGCUGAGACGCGAAAGCGUGGGUAGCAAACAGG